rnacentral:rRNA from 1 species
UACGGGGGGGGCAAGCGUUGUUCGGAAUUACUGGGCGUAAAGCGCGCGUAGGCGGCUUUGUAAGUUAGAGGUGAAAGCCCGGGGCUCAACCCCGGAACUGCCUUUAAGACUGCAUCGCUUGGAUCCGGGAGAGGUGAGUGGAAUUCCGAGUGUAGAGGUGAAAUUCGUAGAUAUUCGGAAGAACACCAGUGGCGAAGGCGGCUCACUGGACCGGUAUUGACGCUGAUGUGCGAAAGCGUGGGGAGCAAACAGG